GAUCCUAGAUCAGCAAUCUAACUCUGGGACACUGCCUGUAUGAAACCGAACACAUAGUUGUAAAGUGUAGUUACAGCAGGUGUUUACUGCCAUCUAGUGGAUGAUACCAAUAAAACACUUUAUUUUCAGGGUGGGGAGACGGCUGAUUGAAACAGAAAGUAAAGUUGUUCUUUUGUUCAGGAUCCAUUUUGAGACGACAGAGCAGAAAACACUACAUGGAGAUUAUUGAAAAAUAAAGGGUCAGUGCUCUAAAAUGAGUCUCUCUGGGGAGAGAGAGGAGGGGGGCCCUGCCUCUAAAAUGCAUCUCUCUGGGGGACAUGACACCAAAGCUAAGAGCGCCCGGCCCGGGAUUCAAACCAGCCACCUUUCAGCCACAGGUCCAACUCCUGCCACAGCUCCAACUCCUUAGCCACUGGGCGAAAACCUGAGUUAAUCUUGGGAAAUUAGCAUAAAUUAAUCUGCCAAAAUGAAGACAAAAUGCUUUGGAGACAUACAUGGUAUCACUUGUUAUACAUAAGUAUUAUACAUAAAUCAUUGCCAAAAGCACAGGACAUAUAUUAUUUAUGGAUUGAUCAUAUCAAAUAUCAAAACAUUAUUUUAACUACUACAAAGCAUUUACAUGUGGCUCAGGAACCACUGACUCACUGCAUUGUUCUAUAGUAUUAUCAAGACACCUGCUGUUAACUCAGAAACUACUUAGGACAGCUCACGAGGUGUCCUAAAUAUCUGCUGACUAGGUGGGACUAGAGAUUUCAUGCAUAGCUUUAAUUUAUUCCCGGAAGUGUCAAAUGUCUUUAUUCUCAGCACUUAUACGACCACUUCUCUACUCUGAGACGCUUUGUGGAUAUGGGCCUAGAUCUCAAAAUAUUGUUAUAAAAAAAGUGGAACGUUUGUUUAACAUAAUAAUAAAAAAUGAAUAUUACUAAUGUAACCCACUGUAAAGACUGGGCUUAGUUGAUUGUGUUGCACUGCUCAUGUCCGCGUUCUGGAACUGUCCGAGUCCACGUCCUGUGUGGCACCAAGAAUAUUGUCCGGUUACGCGCAGAGUGGACUAAGGUAAAUUUUGGGGAAUAACGAUGGAGUUUGUUACAGUGUUGAAACGCCAAACUUUAUUGUUCAAUUAGCUUUUUGCUUUACGGUCAGGGACAGUAUGAGUGUAGCCAGAUCCUUUUCACUCUCUAUCCUUGUUUCAUUUUGUGGUUCACCGGAUUCGUCAUCAUCAUCGAGACAAACGACAGACGAACGUCCUGCUAGCGAGCCAAGCUAGUCGGUAAAGCUAGGUAAGCUAGCUAGCUACUCUACCAGCAGCAUCCUAGUUAUCCUAGCUAGUCGGUACAGCUAGGUAAGCUAGCUAGCUACUCUACCAGCAGCAUCCUAGUUAUCCUAGCUAGUCGGUACAGCUAGGUAAGCUAGCUAGAUACUCUACCAGCAGCAUCCUAGUUAUCCUAGCUAGUCGGUACAGCUGGGUAAGCUAGCUAGCUACUCUACCAGCAGCAUCCUAGUUAU